rnacentral:rRNA from 1 species
GACGGAGGGUGCUAGCGUUGUUCGGAAUCACUGGGCGUAAAGGGCGCGUAGGCGGCUUCAGGUGUCGGAUGUGAAAGCCCGUGGCUCAACCCCGGAGGUGCAUCCGAAACUCUGGGGCUGGAGGCCGGAAGAGGAGGGUGGAAUACCCAGUGUAGAGGUGAAAUUCGUAAAUAUUGGGUGGAACACCGGUGGCGAAAGCGGCUCUCUGGUCCGGUCCUGACGCUGAGGCGCGAAAGCGUGGGGAGCAAACAGG